UACGGAGGGUGCAAGCGUUAAUCGGAAUUAACUGGGCGUAAAGCGCACGCAGGCGGUCUGUCAAGUCGGAUGUGAAAUCCCCGGGCUCAACCUGGGAACUGCAUCCGAAACUGGCAGGCUAGAGUCUUGUAGAGGGGGUAGAAUUCCAGGUGUAGCGGUGAAAUGCGUAGAGAUCUGGAGGAAUACCGGUGGCGAGGGCGGCCCCCUGGACAAGACUGACGCUCAGGUGCGAAAGCGUGGGGAGCAAACAGG
rnacentral:rRNA from 1 species